rnacentral:rRNA from 1 species
AUUGAGCGCUGGCGGCAUGCCUUACACAUGCAAGUCGAACGGCAGCACGGGAGCAAUCCUGGUGGCGAGUGGCGAACGGGUGAGUAAUAUAUCGGAACGUGCCCAGGUCGUGGGGGAUAACGUAGCGAAAGCUACGCUAAUACCGCAUACGAUCUAUGGAUGAAAGCGGGGGAUCGCAAGACCUCGCGCGAUUGGAGCGGCCGAUAUCAGAUUAGGUAGUUGGUGAGGUAAAGGCUCACCAAGCCGACGAUCUGUAGCUGGUCUGAGAGGACGACCAGCCACACUGGGACUGAGACACGGCCCCAGACUCCUACGGGAGGCAGCAGUGGGGAAUUUUGGACAAUGGGCGCAAGCCUGAUCCAGCAAUGCCGCGUGCAGGAUGAAGGCCUUCGGGUUGUAAACUGCUUUUGUACGGAACGAAACGGUGAGCUCUAAUACAGUUUGCUAAUGACGGUACCGUAAGAAUAAGCACCGGCUAACUACGUG